GACGAACCGUGCGAACGUUAUUCGGAAUUACUGGGCUUAAAGCGCGUGUAGGCGGAUGGGGACGUCGGUCGCUGAAAGCCCCCCGGCUCAACCGGGGAAGUGGCGCCGAAACGCCCCGUCUGGAGGGACGUAGGGGGGACCUGGAACUUCCGGUGGAGCGGUGAAAUGCGUUGAGAUCGGAAGGAACGCCCGUGGCGAAAGCGAGGUCCUGGACGUCUUCUGACGCUGAGACGCGAAAGCUAGGGGAGCGAACGGG
rnacentral:rRNA from 1 species